CGAAGGGGGCUAGCGUUGUUCGGAAUUACUGGGCGUAAAGCGAGUGUAGGUGGUUGUCCAAGUUGGAUGUGAAAGCCUUGAGCUCAACUCAAGAAAUGCAUUCAGGACUGGGCGGCUAGAGGACCGGAGAGGAUAGUGGAAUUCCCAGUGUAGUGGUGAAAUACGUAGAGAUUGGGAAGAACACCAGUGGCGAAGGCGGCUAUCUGGACGGUUUCUGACACUAAGACUCGAAAGCGUGGGGAGCAAACAGGAUUAGAUACCCUGGUAGUCCACGCCGUAAACGAUGGGUGCUAGACGUUGGCGAGCUUGCUCGUCAGUGUCGCAGCUAACGCGUUAAGCACCCCGCUGGGGAGUACGGCCGCAAGGUUG
rnacentral:rRNA from 1 species